rnacentral:tmRNA from 1 species
UCACUUCACAUUAAGCCGCAAUUCCCUAUAUAAGGCGGUGCCGGGCUUGCCCGGCUAUGGCGAUAAAUUGUGCCGUGUAAUAGAUGCAGCGGACCCGGGGGCAGUACCCGGCGGCUCCACCAAAAGCUGAGUCCGCAGUGGCGGCACGCUUCAUGCGUGUCGGCUACGCGGGUUCUUCUUCUGACGGGGCCGAACCAGGAUCGACGUGUAUUGAAAGACGGUAUUUUUGCCCGGCCUGAAUGCGCCGUAAAACCGUUCACAACCACAAGUGCCAACGACAACGAGGCGCUCGCGAUUGCCGCGUAACCAAAGUCCUCACGGACUAGGUUAUUAGGACAAAAGCGCGGUUCGGGCCGCACCGGGCAACAGAAGCGGAUUCCAGCGGCUUGGAGGGUGCCGGGCAACAGAAACCCUCCACU